rnacentral:misc_RNA from 1 species
AACCCUCUCACAAAAAUAAUUUUAUUAUUAUUCUUUGUGGAUGUUGAGUGCUGCUGUGUUACACAUAGCUCACUUUAAAUAUAUAAGUUAUCUUCUUACUUUGACAAAAAAGCAAAUAAGGUGGAUUGACUUGGUGUGUAAUAAUUUUUCAUCACAUCAAGGAAAGUAGCAAUACUUGCCAUCUUUAUAUAUUUUUUGUUGUUGAGCAAGAGACUUCUAAAAAUCCAAUUAAUCUCAAUU